rnacentral:rRNA from 1 species
GACGAACGCUGGCGGCGUGCUUAACACAUGCAAGUCGAACGAAAAGAGGGAAAGAUCUUGCUGUUGCCGGAAUUGAGUGGCAAACGGGUGAGUAAUACGUAAACAACCUGCCUUCAGGAAGUUGAGAACAGACGGAAGCGACUGCUACUAAUGAACGAUUUGACAGGACGGUAUUGCCCAUGGUAGAAAAGGUUGCCUCUACCUGUGAGCUAUCGCCUGCAGACUGGCUGGGUUCUGGUUGGCUGGUGGGGUGGGAAAGGGGCCACCAAGGGCAAGAUCAGUAGCCGGUCGGAGAGGAGGGAGGGCCCACGUGGAAAUGGGACACGGGCCAGACUCCAAAGGGAGGCAGCAGUGGGGAAUCUUCCGCAAUGGGCGAAAGCCUGACGGCGGAACGCCGCGUGAGUGAUGACGGACUUCGGGUUGUAAAACUCUGUGAUCCGGGAAGAAAAGGCAGAGUGCGAAGAUGAAACUGUAUUGACGGUACCGGAAAAGCAAGCCACGGCUAACUACGUG